ncrna:unclassified sequences Flavobacterium-1 RNA
CCGAGAUAGGGGUACAAAUCUUGCCACUGGCAUUUCCCUGGACCCAAGCGAUGAUGGGCAACCUAGCGACGACUCUCGGCGUUCUUCGGGAGAGAGUACUAGACGUAGUGUCUCCCAGAACG